rnacentral:rRNA from 1 species
GUCUUUUUGAUUAUAAUUUAAAGUCUAAUCUGCCCACUGAUAAAAUAUUAAAGGGCUGCAGUAUUUUGACUGUACAAAGGUAGCAUAAUCAUUAGUCUCUUAAUUGGUGACUUGUAUGAAAGAUUUGAUGAAAUAUAAACUGUCUCAAUUUAAUUUAUAAAAUUUAAUUUUUUAGUUAAAAAGCUAAAAUUUGUUUAAAAGACGAGAAGACCCUAUAGAGUUUUAUAUUUUAAUAAUUUAUUAUUUUAUAUUAUUUUAAAAAUUUUAAGUUAUUAAAUUAUUUUAUUGGGGAGAUAGAAAAAUUGAAUUAACUUUUUUUAAAAUUAAAACAUUUAUUUUUGAAUAUAUGAUCCGUAAAUUACGAUUAAAAGAUUAAAUUACCUUAGGGAUAACAGCGUAAUUUUUUUUUUUAGUUCAAAUAAGAAAAAGAGUUUGCGACCUCGAUGUUGGAUUAAGAUAAAAUUUAAAUGCAAAAGUUUAAAAUUUUUGAUCUGUUCGAUCAUUAAAAUCUUACA